AGCACGUGGGGAACCUGCCCAUCAGAAGGGGAUAACACUUGGAAACAGGUGCUAAUACCGUAUAACAAUCGAAACCGCAUGGUUUUGAUUUGAAAGGCGCUUUCGGGUGUCGCUGAUGGAUGGACCCGCGGUGCAUUAGCUAGUUGGAUGUAGGUAACGGCUUCACCCCAAGGCCACCCGCAUUGCAAUAGCCGACCUGAGAAGGGUGGAUCGGUCCACAUUGGGAUCUGGAAGACACGGUCCCAAACUCCUACCGGGAGGCAGCAGUAGGGAAUCUUUCGGCAAUUGGAACGAAAAGUCUGACUCGAGCAACGCCCGCGUGAAGUGAAGAAGGAUUUUUCGGAUCGUAAAAACUUCUGUUGUUAGAGAAGAACAAGGAUGAGAGUAACUGAUUCAUCCCUUGACGGUAUCUAWCCAGAAAAGCCACGGCUAACUUACGUGCCAGCAGCCGCGGUAAUACGUAGGUGGCAAGCGUUGUCCGGAUUUAUUGGGCGUAAAGCGAGCGCAGGCGGUUUCUUAAGUCUGAUGUGAAAGCCCCCGGCUCAACCGGGGAGGGUCAUUGGAAACUGGGAGACUUGAGUGCAGAAGAGGAGAGUGGAAUUCCAUGUGUAGCGGUGAAAUGCGUAGAUAUAUGGAGGAACACCAGUGGCGAAGGCGGCUCUCUGGUCUGUAACUGACGCUGAGGCUCGAAAGCGUGGGGAGCAAACAGGAUUAGAUACCCUGGUAGUCCACGCCGUAAACGAUGAGUGCUAAGUGUUGGAGGGUUUCCGCCCUUCAGUGCUGCAGCUAACGCAUUAAGCACUCCGCCUGGGGAGUACGACCGCAAGGUUGAAACUCAAAGGAAUUGACGGGGGCCCGCACAAGCGGUGGAGCAUGUGGUUUAAUUCGAAGCAACGCGAAGAACCUUACCAGGUCUUGACAUCCUUUGACCACUCUAGAGAUAGAGCUUCCCCUUCSGGGGCAAAGUGACAGGUGGUGCAUGGUUGUCGUCAGCUCGUGUCGUGAGAUGUUGGGUUAAGUCCCGCAACGAGCGCAACCCUUAUUGUUAGUUGCCAUCAUUCAGUUGGGCACUCUAGCAAGACUGCCGGUGACAAACCGGAGGAAGGUGGGGAUGACGUCAAAUCAUCAUGCCCCUUAUGACCUGGGCUACACACCGUGCCUACAAUGGGAAGGUUACAACCGAGUUGGCCGAAGAUCGCGAGGCUAAGCUAAUCUCUUAAAGCUUCUCUCAGUUCGGAUUGCAGGCUGCAACUCGCCUGCAUGAAGCCGGAAUCGCUAGUAAUCGCGGAUCAGCACGCCGCGGUGAAUACGUUCCCGGGCCUU
rnacentral:rRNA from 1 species